rnacentral:rRNA from 1 species
UACAGAGGUCCCAAGCGUUGUUCGGAUUCACUGGGCGUAAAGGGUGCGUAGGUGGCCAGGUAAGUUCGGUGUGAAAGCUCGGAGCUUAACUCCGAAAUGGCAUUGAAUACUAUCUGGCUAGAGGGUCGGAGGGGAGACUGGAAUUCUCGGUGUAGCAGUGAAAUGCGUAGAUAUCGAGAGGAACACCAGUGGCGAAGGCGAGUCUCUGGGAUGAUACUGACGCUGAUGCUCGAAAGGCUAAGGGGAGCAAACGGG